CCUGCUCCAGAGGAUAUCAGCUCCCUGCCUGCGGGGGUCUUAUCUGUCACCAGUGAACUCCCCAGGCCUGGCCUGGUGCCUAUCACAGAUCUCUGGUGAGCAAAUCAAGAAAUGAAUGAAAAGAAGCAACUGAAGAACUGGGUCUAUUUCCAUGUUAACCAGCAAAGGUCAGACAGGGCAGGGCGAUGGUGACCGAUAGCGAGUGUCCCCCACCACUGCCAUCCUGAAGGUGGACGAGCAGAACGUGAGCUGGAGUCUCCUCGCCCCCCACCGCCCCUCUCCGGAUGGACAGGGUACAAAGCCCUCUUGGCCGGGGCCGCGGCUGGGCCCAUGAAACAGCUCUUUCAGCUCCGUCGCUGAAUGGCAGGUCUAUGGGCUGCUUGGAGGAACACAAGCGCCUUCUCUGUGUCACUUUGCUCAUUAGUGAAGCCACAGAAAUAUGCUACAGCAUCAGGAUAUUUCCCAAUGAGAGAGAUGGCUCUUCGCAUCAGGUGGCCAAAGUAUUGGGAGUUUCAGCUUCAGCAUCAGUCCUUCCAAUGAAUACUCAGGCUUGAUUUCGUUUAGGAUUGACUGGUUUGAUCUCCUUGAUAUCCAAGAGACUCUCAAGAGUCUUCUCCAACACCAUAGCUCGAAAGCAUCAAUUCUUC
ensembl:lncRNA